CGCAACUUGGCUUCCAGCGUAGAAACGCACCCUUUAUCCACUCGUGGACUUGUGGUCAAGCCCGCCGACCACCGCCGCCGCCCUCCAUCAUCCGCCGCCGUCCCCCUCGUCCGCGAGGGGUCACCACUCGUGCUCGUACCCUCUCCAUCCGUCUCUCUCGCUUCUUCUUUUUCCUGUCCGCUUCGACGCCACCAUCUCCUUACUGCAGGCAUCUCUGGCCUUCGCGGGCCGCCGAAAGGUCCUAUCAAUCAUGGUUCCAAUCUUGUAUGCAGCAGCCUCAAUCACGGUUCCAAUCUUGUGUGCAGCAGCCUCAAUCACGGUUCCAAUCUUGUGUGCAGCAGCCUCAAUCACGAUUCCAAUCUUGUGUGCAGUAGCCUGGAUCAGUUCGAUUCUUUGCUUGGGAUAUGAAAGAUGCUGGUUUUGCAAGAUCUGGGACUAGUGAAAAAUGAAGCAAAGGCUAAUCAACGAGCCCCUCAGGAUGUUACAGGUUAUGGCCCUCUUCAGGUUAGAGAGUGGACUGUGGAGAUCUAGUUGAUUUCACUGCAUAAUGCAGUGAGUCGUGGUGGACUGGUGGCAAUACAUUUACAAUGCAUAUGGGCAUUAGAGUAUAUGUGAGUUUAUUUCCUCAUGUUGAUUGGAUCACGCUGCUAGAGCCUUUUGGAAGCUGUAGAGGAAGAGAAAGAGAGAAAUAUCCAACUGCCCAAAGAGCUCCUCGAUGAGAUCGAGAUUACCACCUAGUUGCAAGUCACGUUCUUGGAUUAGUCCAAAGUGUAAAUGUUUGAUAUUAUAGUUUGUACUUUGUAGUAAUCACAGAUGUACAUAUAUUUUUUGUUGACAAGAUCAAGCGUCCAUGUAGGAUCCGUGCAAUGAUAUGUA